rnacentral:rRNA from 1 species
GCUCUCGGGUGACGAGUGGCGGACGGGUGAGUAAUGUCUGGGAAACUGCCUGGGGGACCUUCGGGCCUCUUGCCAUCAGAUGUGCCCAGAUGGGAUUAGCUAGUAGGUGGGGUAACGGCUCACCUAGGCGACGAUCCCUAGCUGGUCUGAGAGGAUGACCAGCCACACUGGAACUGAGACACGGUCCAGACUCCUACGGGAGGCAGCAGUGGGGAAUAUUGCACAAUGGGCGCAAGCCUGAUGCAGCCAUGCCGCGUGUAUGAAGAAGGC